AUAUAGUUUAGAAAAAAGUAAACUUUUUUACCACAACCUUUGAUUUCUAACUAAUGAUACUUUGAUUAUAAUGAUUUAUUAAUUUAUAAGUUCAUUAGGCUUCAAUCAAUAAUACUUAACUAAACAUUAAGGAUCGCAUCAAAAAAUGAAUUAUCGAAAACGUAUAAAAACUUUGACAGUGUUUCUAAAGGUAUCAUUCGAGUUUAGUCUCCUUUGAAACCAACAAGAUGAACAAGUUCUUCGUGGUCGCCCUCUUCGCCCUCGUUGCUGCCUGCGCUGCAGCCCCACCUGUGGUUACAAACAUCAACCCGAUCUCAGAGACGACUGGAACUAUUGAAGGUCACGAUGCGGAGAAACGCGCCAUUCUCUAUCGCGCACCUCUAGGUCACUACUACGGCGGCUACCCCACUGGCUACCCCGCAGGCUACCCGGCUGACUACCGCUACCGCGUUGCGGCACCGCUGUCCUACCUUUCUUACCCGAGCGAGCCUUACUACGGUAGCUACGGUAGCUACGUCAUCUGAAUACCUGGAUUAACCGACGACAGUUUGAGCGAAUAAAGAUUGCAAUUUUA